rnacentral:rRNA from 1 species
AACGCGAAGAACCUUACGGUUGUCGUCAGCUCGUGCUGUGAGGUGUCGGGUUAAGUCCCAUAACGAGCUCAACCCCUAUUGAUAGUUACCAGCACGUAAUGGUGGGGGCUCUAUCGAGUCUGCCGGUGUAAACCGUGAGGAAGGUGGGGAUGACGUCAAAUCAGCACGGCCCUUACAUCCAGGGCUACACACGUGUUGCAAUGGCCGGUACAAAGGGCAGCUACCCCGCGAGGGGAUGCGAAUCUUAAAAGCCGGUCUCAGUUCGGAUCGAAGUCUGCAACCCGACUUCGUGAAGCUGGAUUCGCUAGUAAUCGCGCAUCAGCCAUGGCGCGGUGAAUACGUAGCCGGGCCUUGUACACACCGCCCGUCAAGCCAUGGGAGCCGGGGGUACCUGAAGUAUGUAACCGCAAGGAGCGUCCUAGGGGGUCUUGUACACACGC